GACGUAGGGGGCCAGCGUUGUUCGGAAUUACUGGGUGUAAAGGGUUCGUAGGCGGUGCGGCAAGUUGGGAGUGAAAUCUCUGGGCUUAACCCAGAGGCUGCUUCCAAAACUGCUGUGCUUGAGUGUGGGAGAGGCGCGUGGAAUUGCAGGUGUAGCGGUGAAAUGCGCAGAUAUCAGGAGGAACACCAAUUGCGAAGGCAGCUCGCUGGGACGUUACUGACGCUGAGACGCGAAAGCGUGGGGAGCAAACAGG
rnacentral:rRNA from 1 species